UACGUAGGGGGCAAGCGUUGUCCGGAAUCAUUGGGCGUAAAGCGCGUGUAGGCGGUUCGGUAAGUCGGCUGUGAAAGUCCAGGGCUCAACCCUGGGAUGCCGGUCGAUACUGCCGGACUAGAGUCCGGAAGAGGAGAGUGGAAUUCCUGGUGUAGCGGUGAAAUGCGCAGAUAUCAGGAAGAACACCCGUGGCGAAGGCGGCUCUCUGGGACGGUACUGACGCUGAGACGCGAAAGCGUGGGGAGCGAACAGG
rnacentral:rRNA from 1 species